GGUUAAGCGACUAAGCGUACACGGUGGAUGCCCUGGCAGUCAGAGGCGAUGAAGGGCGUGCUAAUCUGCGAUAAGCGCCGGUAAGGUGAUAUGAACCGUUAUAACCGGCGAUACCCGAAUGGGGAAACCCAGUGUGACUCGUCACACUAUCAUUAACUGAAUCCAUAGGUUAAUGAGGCGAACCGGGGGAACUGAAACAUCUAAGUACCCCGAGGAAAAGAAAUCAACCGAGAUUCCCCCAGUAGCGGCGAGCGAACGGGGAGGAGCCCAGAGCCUGAAUCAGCAUGUGUGUUAGUGGAAGCGUCUGGAAAGGCGCGCGAUACAGGGUGACAGCCCCGUACACAAAAGCGCAUGUGCUGUGAGCUCGAUGAGUAGGGCGGGACACGUGGUAUCCUGUCUGAAUAUGGGGGGACCAUCCUCCAAGGCUAAAUACUCCUGACUGACCGAUAGUGAACCAGUACCGUGAGGGAAAGGCGAAAAGAACCCCGGCGAGGGGAGUGAAAAAGAACCUGAAACCGUGUACGUACAAGCAGUGGGAGCACCCUUUGGGUGUGACUGCGUACCUUUUGUAUAAUGGGUCAGCGACUUAUAUUCUGUAGCAAGGUUAACCGAAUAGGGGAGCCGGAGGGAAACCGAGUCUUAAUUGGGCGUUAAGUUGCAGGGUAUAGACCCGAAACCCGGUGAUCUAGCCAUGGGCAGGUUGAAGGUUGGGUAACACUAACUGGAGGACCGAACCGACUAAUGUUGAAAAAUUAGCGGAUGACCUGUGGCUGGGGGUGAAAGGCCAAUCAAACCGGGAGAUAGCUGGUUCUCCCCGAAAGCUAUUUAGGUAGCGCCUCGUGAAUUCAUCUCCGGGGGUAGAGCACUGUUUCGGCUAGGGGGCCAUCCCGGCUUACCAACCCGAUGCAAACUGCGAAUACCGGAGAAUGUUAUCACGGGAGACACACGGCGGGUGCUAACGUCCGUCGUGAAGAGGGAAACAACCCAGACCGCCAGCUAAGGUCCCAAAGUCAUGGUUAAGUGGGAAACGAUGUGGGAAGGCCCAGACAGCCAGGAUGUUGGCUUAGAAGCAGCCAUCAUUUAAAGAAAGCGUAAUAGCUCACUGGUCGAGUCGGCCUGCGCGGAAGAUGUAACGGGGCUAAACCAUGCACCGAAGCUGCGGCAGCGACACUGUGUGUUGUUGGGUAGGGGAGCGUUCUGUAAGCCUGCGAAGGUGG
rnacentral:rRNA from 1 species